UAUCAGCUUGAUGAGAUGACUCAGGGACUUCAGUACUUUGUGUUUCAGGGACCUCCUCUUCCUGAACCACUGGAUCAGCAACAUUUGGAAUAUGUGGUGGAGGCAAAUUCUGGUUGUUUAGAAAUUCUUGCAUUGCUUCCGGAAGAACCACAUCCUCAUUGUUGGUGUAGUUCUGAUGAUUCUCCAGCAUAGAUAUUACCCUUGUGGUCAUGAAGGAGCAUAUGACAUUGUCUAUAUUUGGAUAGACAGCUCUCUCAGCAGGGGUCAGCAUUUUAUUCAGAACAAUCUGAAAGAACCGAGGGUAGAGAAGGACAUUCCUGUUCUUUCUUAGAGAAUCCUGAAAAGCUCCCAUGAUUAAGUGUCCCA
rnacentral:lncRNA from 1 species